UAAGCGAGAACAGCGGUGUAAAUUUUGGCAGUCAGUUAUUGCUUAUAUGGGGUUAGCCAACGCAAAAUACAGUUUGCGUUCUACCCAUGUUGAUGGCGGGAACGAAUGUGACACAGUCAGAAUACAUACAUAUAUAGAAUACAGAGUCAUAUGUGGGCCAGGACAGCCGCCAGUUACAGUCCUGUGUGGACAGAUGCUAUGAUGUCCUGUGUGGGCAGAUGCUAUGAUGUCCUGUGCGGACAGAUGCUAUGAUGUCCUGUGUGGACAGAUGCUAUGAUGUCCUGUGUGAGCAGAUGCUAUGAUGUCCUAUAUGGUCGUGCAGAUGUUCUAAUAUCCUGUGUGGACAGAUGCUAUGAUGUCCUGUGUGGACAGAUGUUCUGAUAUCCUGUGUGGGCAGGUGCUAUGCUGUGUAGACAGUUGUGCUCUAAUUAUGAAUUCCGUUGGACAUUUGUCAUCAGACGUUCCUAUAGGCAACUGUUCGAUGCCGUGAACAUUGCUGGUUGUUAGUCGGUCCAGAGACGUUUCCAGACCUCUUUCCAGAUUCGUUGAGGACAGACUAUACUGUUUCAUAUGUAAUUAUUAAAGUGUGUGUGUUUUGAAUGAGUGAGUGAGUUGUACAUAUUUACAUUUGUGUGUACAAUUUAUAAUGUGUAUAUAGUGUAUUAAACUUGUAUAUAUUGUA